rfam:Gossypium raimondii Chr06_contig_770, whole genome shotgun sequence.
UGUUAAAAUUUUCAUUUAAUUCUAUUGUUAAAAACUUAUGUGGCUGAAAGAAUAAUCAAACAGUUACACGUGGCAUACUAUUGUAUUUUAUUUUGCGUAUAUGGAACAAUUUUUAACAGUAAAAAUGGAUGAAAUUUUAACA